ensembl:lncRNA
AUGCCACGUCUGUCGGGCCGUGCUGGCGGCCCCGCGUCUCGGACAGGCCGCAGGGACGCCCCGUGCGGUGCCGUGGGAAGGGGCUGCCCGUGGGUGCAGCGGGGUGUCACCAGUGGGCUCGGCCGUGGCUCCGCUGGGGGGCUCCGGCUGCACCCCACUGCUGGGGGGGGGGGCUGUGGGGCCCCAAGAAACUUCCUGCCCCCGCCUCAGCGCACCACAUCCUGUUUUCACCGUGCUCUGUGCACAUCCUGGGUUGCGUCAGCCCCGUCCUUCCCCACAGACAGCCGAGGUGCGUCAGGAGAAGGGCUGGGGUCGGGUGGCUCCAGGAAAGACCCUCCCAGGCAGCCAGGCCCAGCGCCGAGAGCUGGCCAGGGCCCUCCAGCCCCUCGGGAGCAGCCCUGCCCCGUCACCCGGCUCCUGCACCCCCAGGCCCUGCACCCCACAGCCGCUGCCUCGCUCCCCGCCAGUUCCAGGCUCGGGGGCCCCUGGCCCAGCCGCAGGGCUGGGGCACCACCAGGGCACACGACGUGGCCCGCGAGCAGCAGCUUGGCCACAUCCACUCUCACCGAGCCACUGACGGCUGGGCCGUGCUGCAGCCCUGCGUCGUGUGCUGCACCCCCUGCCAUGCACCUCGCUCGCCCUCCACGCCGGCACCUCUCACCGUGCUCGGCCUCAGCCCAGGCAGCGCUGCCGGGAGCUGCUCUCAGCCCGCCCCAGGUCCCAGCCUGCGAGCAGGAGCCCAGGGACAGCAGCAGCAGCUCCCAGGCGCUGACAGCCUGCGGUGCCAGCCCCGACGCAGCGGGCACUGGGCUGCCCUGGGCAGGUUUCCUUUGGAGAAGGCAGCCACGCACGCUCACUCCUGCUCUGAAGCGGGGCUGCAGCAAGGGCAUUGCCCCCGGCAGGGCCGGAGGCAGGAGGGCAAGGGGCUGGGGCAGGACGGGGCUCAGCCACACCGUGCUGCAGGCACCCACUGGCUGCUGCCAUGGGCUCCCCGGCUCUGCCCGCACCAGCAUCGUGGGGAGUGCCCAGCACCCAGCCGUCCUGCCGGAUCCGUGCUUGCGGGGGCCUGAGGCCGGCAGCACACGGGGGCGGCGAGACGGCCGGGACUCUCUGUGCCGCCGAUGGCACGAGCCAUAUGGAGCCGGAGCCACGUCUGCCAUGGGGACGGGGACGCUGCAGGAAGCGGAGGGCACGGGGCACCUACCUGCCUUGGUGGCCACCGAGGGGCACAGGAAGGCCUGGAAGCUGGAGGCGCAGAGCUCGCUGACCGUCCCCAUGCCGCGCAGACCCCGCGCGGGGUGCUGCCAGCUCCCCGGGGGCAGGCGGAGGCCCGGCGGGCACCGUGCGGCGCGGCGGCAGCUCCCUGCGGCCGGGGCCCCGGGCAGCCCGAGGCGUCCCCGCUCUGGCUGGAGCAGGGGAAGGCGGCUCUGGCAGCGGGAGGCUCCAGCGGCAGGAGCCCACGCGCCAGCCGCAGCCAAUCCCCGCUCCCUGCCUGCACACCAGCCCGCUGGGGCGCACGGGCACCGGCCGGCGGCUCAAAGCCACUUGGAGGACACGGAGUUCGGCAAGUUCCCAGCAGCGGCCCCUGGCCCCGGGCUCCCUGCCCCCUGCCAGCCCCUGGCCCGCACGGCGGCUGGCGGCGGGGUAUUUUUAGAGCGGUUUUAUCCCUCCGUAUUAGAGCUUUAA